CGUGAAUGUUUUCCUGCACACUGGUAUUUAUGAAUGCCUCGAACAUUGAUAUUUUUUGUUUCCUUUAUAUAUGUAUAGAAUAGAGAAUUGAAGAGUUAUGAACUUUGACUCGGAAAACCACAAGCACGGGUAACUUUUGAAACCACCCGCAGGACAUGCAGGACAUGCAGGAGGUGGUCACAAAUGGAAGUUUAUACAUGUACUAAGAGUACCCCCCCCCC
rnacentral:lncRNA from 1 species